CAGGGGGCAGGUGGCGUUGGCUCGGGGAGGGAUCGGGCAGGGAAGGAGUCUACUGCGGGGAGCUGCGGCUGGGGCGCCUCGGCGGCGGGGUCUGUGGCCGGGUGCGGAGUCCAACCCACCGUCUGCAGGUGCACCGUGAGAGGCGGCAGAGGCAGUGGAGGGCGGCGGGGAGCGGGGUCUGUGGGGAGCGGGGUCUGAAGUGGGCAGCAGCGUGGCCAGGCUGCGCUCCAUGAUGGGCCGUGGUGUCCGCAGCGGCAUGAGGCGCGGGUGUCUGUGCCCAAGGCGGACCUCUGAAGCUGCUGUCGGCAGGUGUGCAGCCAGAGGCUAGGGAAAGGCGGUGGCGGCAUUGUUAGUGGGAGGGCAGCGUCCAUGGCUGGCGAUGGCGUCGGUUGGGGGCGGCAACUGGAUGUGGUGAGCAACAGUUGGCAGCGGCUAGCUAUGUAGGUUGGUGUCAGUUCCAGGAGUGGAGGGGCAGCAGCGUCAAGGGACGGAGUCUGCCCACAGCCGACGCCCAGCAUGUUCACCCCACCAAGCAAAGCCAAAGGCCUCUGACGCUGCUUUCCUCCUCCAAAGCGCAGCCACUCGUUCUUGAGCCCACCUCUCUCCCGUCCCUGCCCGCUGAUGCCUCCUGCUGACACCUGCCCGAUGCCUGCCGCCACCACUGCCCUCCAAUGCCUUCUUCCGCCAACGCCGAAGUCGCUGCCUUCGCCGACGACACUCAUGGCCCUCCGCUGCCAGAUGCCCUCAGACUCGUACCACUGUUGGAUUCUCCCAGAGGAGGACACCGCCCCAAAUCACUCACAAAAGGCGUCUCUUGAUGCAACAAGCAAGAGGAAUUUAUUCAGGAACCAGCUAGCUGGGGUCCAAGUGUUAGCCCGACGCAGCGGGUCUCAACAAGGACCCCAAGCAGUCAAAGCCGGAGGUUUUUAUAGCAUUUUCUAAAAAGACAGUAUUGUUCUACAAGCACGUAACAGGGUUUUUUUUCCAAGGACGCAUAAAUCUUCGGUUGGCGCCACAUCCCCGGGGGUUUCACGAGAUAAGAACACCCUCAGCCAUACAGUGUUUCAGCAAGAUAAACUUGGUCCUAUACCACCACCAACAGGGACCCCCUUGCCAGGGACCCUGUUCCCUGGUUCCCACACAGGCCUCGCCGCCUUGCAGCAGGCUCAGGGAAUAGUCUCCACAGGGAACAACUUCAUCUCUCUGAAGUCAAUUCAUGAAAGUUCUACUUGAUCCAUUUCUGCAAACAUCUGCUGUUCCCUACCACCAGGGUCACAUGAGGCAGUGGCUGCAUCAACUUGGAGCCAUUGUCCCACCAGCAUUCCGUUGUCUCCACAUCCUUGCCAACACCUGUUAUUUUUUUUUGUCUCUUGUAUUUUGGACAUUCUGACUGAUGGGACGUGACAUCUCAUAGGGCUUAGUCUUGCAUUUCCCUGAUGGUGAGUGAUAU